CGGGCAUUCGACGAUUUGGAUUCGAGCCGCAACUAUGGUGCGGGACGGAAGGUUGCUGCCGUCUUGUCCUGAGUGGUCCACUUCACUUGUACAACGGACCUUGGACUUGUGGUAUGAACAAAGGUGUUACCAGGCCACCCGGGACAUGACGUUGAUGGGUUCCUACAGGAGGCUGGCGUCCUCAACCUCCUAUAACUGGUUUAAUUUAAUCAGUAGGGGCUAUGGGUCGGUUUGUCUUCCCCAGUCUGCCCUCCCGGAGCUCAUCCUUAAUCCUAGAAUCUAAAGUCCGGGUUGAUAGGUGGUCUUCUGGACAGAAUGCGGGUA